CCUACGGGAGGCAGCAGUGAGGAAUAUUGGUCAAUGGACGAGAGUCUGAACCAGCCAAGUAGCGUGAAGGAUGACUGCCCUAUGAGUUGUAAACUUCUUUUAUAUGGGAAUAAAGUUUUCCACGUGUGGUAUUUUGUAUGUACCAUAUGAAUAAGGAUCGGCUAACUCCGUGCCAGCAGCCGCGGUAAUACGGAGGAUCCGAGCGUUAUCCGGAUUUAUUGGGUUUAAAGGGUGCGUAGGUGGAUUGUUAAGUCAGUUGUGAAAGUUAGGGGCUCAACCGGAAAAUGGCAGUUGAAACUGGCAGUAUUGAGUGCAGUAGAGGUAGGCGGAAUGCGUGGUGUAGCGGUGAAAUGCUUAGAUAUCACGCAGAACUCCGAUUGCGAAGGCAGCUUACCGGACUGCAACUGACACUGAGGCUCGAAAGUGUGGGUAUCAAACAGGAUUAGAUACCCGAGUAGUC
rnacentral:rRNA from 1 species